UACGUAGGGUGCGAGCGUUGUCCGGAAUUAUUGGGCGUAAAGAGCUUGUAGGCGGUUUGUCGCGUCUGCCGUGAAAAUCCGGGCUCAACCCCGGACUUGCGGUGGGUACGGGCAGACUAGAGUGUGGUAGGGGAGACUGGAAUUCCUGGUGUAGCGGUGAAAUGCGCAGAUAUCAGGAGGAACACCGAUGGCGAAGGCAGGUCUCUGGGCCACUACUGACGCUGAGAAGCGAAAAGCGUGGGGAGCGAACAGG
rnacentral:rRNA from 1 species